AACCAUCAGACUCUCACCAGGGUGGCGCGCUUUGGGGUGAUCUGGGCCUGAGCGAGUGACAGUGCAGACCAGCCUGGGUCACAGGGUGAGUCCCUUAUGAAGAAAUUUUUACCAGAACUGUCACUCCCAGUAAGAAGCAAAGCAUCUUUAGGUGGGACAAGGAAUGAAUGAGAAAAGUUGUUCAUAGAAUUUACGAGCCCAGGACCUUGGAUAUGCUGAAGGCAUUUACACUGCGCUUCUAAGAGUAAGCCCAAAUCGCAAAUAGCAGAAGUAGAACUCAGACCCAGGCCAUUGGGCUCCAAGA